AUGUAGGAUAAUCUGUCUUUAGUAGGAGUAAGUUGCUCUAAAUGACAAAUCUUAGCUAGUUUUUCCUUAGAGUUAAAUAUCUUGU
rnacentral:pre_miRNA from 1 species